CUAAUACUCCCUUCGUUCUAAAAUUCUUGUCUUAAAUUUAUCUAGAUAUGAAUGUAUCUAGUCACGUUUUAGUAUUUUGAUACAUUCAUUUCUAAACAAACUUAAGACAAAAAUUUUAGAACGGAGGGAAUAUAAA
rnacentral:pre_miRNA from 2 species